rnacentral:tRNA from 1 species
GCCCGGGUAGCUCAGUGGCAGAGCGGCUCUCUCGUAAAGAGCAGGUCGAGAGUUCGAUUCUCUCCUCGGGCU